AUCCCAUUGAGGAAUCUAUGACCUACGAUAGGAAGUGCCGUAUGACACUGUAAACAGCAGCUGCUUUUCUCCUUUGCUAGUGGCCAUCCUUCGACCAUAACCUUGGUGGUUUGGUCUGGGAUUGACAACCCUUGCAUCGUGUUUAAUUCAGCUGUGUGCGUGAUUUUAAAUGGGUCUCUGAGGGAU
rnacentral:snoRNA from 1 species